CAGCAGCCACGGGAAUACGAAGGGGGCUAGCGUUGUUCGGAAUUACUGGGCGUAAAGCGCACGUAGGCGGAUAUUUAAGUCAGGGGUGAAAUCCCGCAGCUCAACUGCGGAACUGCCUUUGAUACUGGGUAUCUUGAGUAUGGAAGAGGUUAGUGGAAUUGCGAGUGUAGAGGUGAAAUUCGUAGAUAUUCGCAGGAACACCAGUGGCGAAGGCGGCUAACUGGUCCAUAACUGACGCUGAGGUGCGAAAGCGUGGGGAGCAAACAGGAUUAGAUACCCCUGUAGUCCCUGUCUCUUAUAC
rnacentral:rRNA from 1 species